ACUCCUACGGGAGGCAGCAGUGGGGAAUAUUGCACAAUGGGCGCAAGCCUGAUGCAGCAACGCCGCGUGAGCGAUGAAGGCCUUCGGGUCGUAAAGCUCUGUCCUCAAGGAAGAAUAAAUGACGGUACUUGAGGAGGAACGCCCGGCUAACUACGUGCCAGCAGCCGCGGUAAUACGUAGGGGCAAGCGUUAUCCGGAAUCACUGGGCGUAAAGGGUGCGUAGGCGGUUUUUCAAGUCAGAAGUGAAAGGCUAUGGCUCAACCAUAGUAAGCUUUUGAAACUGUUAAACUUGAGUGCAGGAGAGGAAAGUGGAAUUCCUAGUGUAGAAGUGAAAUUCGUAGAUAUUAGGAGGAACACCAGUGGCGAAGCGACUUUCUGGACUGUAACUGACGCUGAGGCACGAAAGCGU
rnacentral:rRNA from 1 species